rnacentral:rRNA from 1 species
AACGUAGGUGGCGAGCGUUAUCCGGCUUUACUGGGCGUAAAGAGCGCGUAGGCGGGGAAGCAAGUCCGGUGUGAAAGCCCCCAGCUCAACUGGGGAAGGUCGCUGGAAACUGCUUUUCUUGAGGGUGACAGAGGGAAGUGGAAUUGCUGGUGUAGCGGUGAAAUGCGUAGAGAUCAGCAGGAACACCCGUGGCGAAGGCGGCUUCCUGGGUCACCACUGACGCUGAGGCGCGAAAGCGUGGGGAGCGAACGGG